UUAAUCUUGAUUAUAAUGUAUAAUUAUUAUUAAAAAAUCAAAUUUUUAACCUUUUUGAAGUUUUAUCUAAAACUCAUCAAAAUCGUGUUUCAAGUUAUGGUACUAAUUAGAUAACGGCCUAAUUUUUACUUCUCAAAUUAAUUCUGACUUCAUGUUUUUUUAUAAUGAUCUCAUUCAUGCAUUCAUGAAUAACAAAAAAAAAAUGAAAUGUAUUUUUUUCUAAGGAAUAAACUUAAAUGGUAAAUUGAUUUAUAUCAAUGUAUUACACCUAUAUUUUAUGGCCCCCUUUUGGUACUAUCUAAUUGUGACAAUAUAUUAUUUGUUUUUUUUUUAACUUAAAAGAAGAGUAUUACGGCAUCGAUUUGCUGAAAACUUUAAAUCAACACAAGUAGUCUCAUUAACUUAUUAUUAUUAUUACUUAACAAUAUGUGUGUAUAAUAUAAUGCUAUCAUUGUUGAUCCAUUAGUGUUUCUAUCGAACAAAAAACAUUCAAUCCGUUAAAAAAAAGAAUUUCCAAUCAAAAUAAAUGAAGUAAUUUUGCUGCAAUCAAAAUAAAUGAUGUAAUUCUGCUGUAUAGGAAAUUUCGUUUCCUAAUUUAUAAGCUAGAUAAAUAUGUAUGUUACCAUUAAAAAAAAUUGAGUUGACAUUCCUAUAAGUUUUAAGGGGGAAGCUACGGUAGAAUUUGGGACAACUAGUUUCAAAUAGUCGUUAUGAUUUUCAUAUCUUAAAUUUACAACGACAUGUUAAAGGAACCAUAAGAAAACACUUCACAAAAUAUUUUAAAUAAGUUUAAACCG